AUCUUUUUUUGUUUCGGCAUUGAAGGUCUUGUUACUUUGAGUAAAUUAGAGUGUUCAAAGCAAACAGAUAUAGCAUUGCGCGUUUGAAUACUACAGCAUGGAAUAACAAAAUUGAACAAGUCAGAAUUUUGUUCUUUUUUCUUAUUUUGGCUUAGUUACGAUUAAUAGGAGUAGCUUGGGGGCAUUUGUAUUCAGAUGUCAGAGGUGAAAUUCUUAGAUUUUCUGGAGACAAACAACUGCGAAAGCAUUUGCCUAAAAUACUUCCAUUAAUCAAGAACGAAAGUUAAGGGAGUGAAGACGAUCAGAUACCGUCGUAAUCUUAACCAUAAACUAUGCCGACUAGGCUUUGGAUGAAAGAUUUUAAAAUAAGAGUUUUUCUCUUCGGAGUUAAACUCUUAGAUUGCUUCCUCAAGUGCCUUAA
rnacentral:rRNA from 1 species